CCUUUGCAUAUUGCUCCCUUGGGAGACCCACCCUUCUUAGUCUGAGAUAAAAAUUGUCCUCUUGCAGUGACUGAUCAGUCUCCUCAGACUGCCUCCUCAAAAUGAAGUUACCUGUUGUGCUGUUGGUGCUGCUGGUGUUCAGUAUUCCUGCUUCCAGAGGGGAUGUUGUGAUGACUCAAACUCCACUCUCCCUGCCUGUCAGCCUUGGGGAUAAAGCCUCCAUCUCUUGCAGGUCUAGUCAGAGCCUUGUACAUAGUAAUGGAAACACCUAUUUGGAAUGGUACCUACAGAAGCCAGGCCAGUCUCCACAGCUCCUGAUCUACAAGGUUUCCAAUAGAUAUUCUGGAGUCCCAGACAGGUUCAGUGGCAGUGGGUCAGGCACAGAUUUCACACUCAAGAUCAGCAGAGUGGAGCCUGAGGAUUUGGGAGUAUAUUACUGUUUGCAAGGUUCACAUGCUCCUCCCACAGUGAUUCACACCCUAACAAAAACAUCUUUGCUUGGGGUGACCCAGCUGCCAAACCUGUUACUUCUCUGUCAGAGAGAAGUGUUGAGGAACUCCUCAUUAUUUGUUGCAGCUGAGGGUCUUGGAGCACGAGUCCCAUGGCUACACCUCACUGGUCAUGCAUUUCUGGUCUCAUCAGCUGCAAUAACAAUGAUGUUGCAUUUGUCUAAGGAAAAUGGUGAACAUGUCCCCUUUCAUCAACCAGGAAUAAUGGAGUUAAAGCUCAGUGAAAACCUAUUUUGA